rnacentral:rRNA from 1 species
UACGGAAGGCAGCAGUGGGGAAUAUUGCACAAUGGGCGCAAGCCUGAUGCAGCCAUGCCGCGUGUAUGAAAAAGGCCUUCGGGUUGUAAAGUACUUUCAGUCGUGAGGAAGGUGUUAAGGUUAAUAACCUUAGCAAUUGACGUUAGCGACAGAAGAAGCACCGGCUAACUCCGUGCCAGCAGCCGCGGUAAUACGGAGGGUGCGAGCGUUAAUCGGAAUUACUGGGCGUAAAGGGCACGCAGGCGGUUAAUUAAGUUGGAUGUGAAAUCCCCGGGCUUAACCUGGGAAUGGCAUUUCAAGACUGGUUAGCUAGAGUCUUGUAGAGGGGGUAGAAUUCCAUGUGUAGCGGUGAAAUGCGUAGAGAUGUGGAGGAAUACCGGUGGGCGAAAGGCGGCCCCUGGGACAAAGACUGACGCUCAUGUGCGAAAGCGUGGGGAGCAAACAGGGAUUAGAUACC